rnacentral:lncRNA from 1 species
GUUCAGUAACGCGAGCUUGUGACCCAAGUGGGGGCUAUGAAGUGAUAGGAUAUUGAUCUUAGCCCAGAUGGUUGUGGGCUCUGGCUGGCUCAUUUCUGGCUUGCCCAUUCCAAGCCUGGAGUUGAGUCGAAGAACUUGGGCGAAAGCUUGGGUUUCGUGGCUCCUAAAGUGGAGGGUACAGCGUAAGGCUGGCUUCACAGAGCAGCGACUACCUCCCGCUUCUGGCAGUGGAAGGAUAACAGGUCGGUGUUACUCGGGUCUACAAAGCCUGAUGGAUGGACUGUUCUAACUGGACUGUCACUUUUUUAAUAAUUAUAUAAUGGAAAGGGGAUAUAUUUUUAACUAAACUUAUUGAUUCAUAUAAUUCAUUAUAAAUUUAUUAUAAGUUUAAACAACAAAAUAAGUGAAAAUCAUAAUUUAUAAAACAUAUUCAUUAUAGCAGUUAUUAGAAUAUAUUUUUUUAUGAAAAAUAAUAUACAGUAAUAUAUUUAUUGAGAACAGUUAUUAUAAUUAUAAAAAUUUAUUAAAUGUAAAAUAAGUUAAUAUAUAUAAUAUUUUAAGUGAAAUAACAAUAUUAUCAAAUUCAAAAAAACACUAAACUAAUAGAUUAAGGAGUAUUGGAAAUUAUUUAUAAUUAAAGUUGAUUUGGAAUAUCUAGAGAUAAAUGGUGUAUAUAUACAUAAUUGUUCUGUAUGUUUUUUUUUUUAAAUUAAAAUAUAUAAAUAAAAUUUUUUAAUGUAUAAAAUUGAGAGGAGAGAAGAUGCUACAACAACAUUAAAUCUUAACUACAUGUGUUUAUUAUCAUUUUGUAUACACGUGUUUAAUAUCAUUUUGUAUAUAGUUUUGAUAUUAUAAAUAAAAUUAAAGAAGCAUAUUUAAAUAUUAAAUAUUAACAUAGCAUGUGAUACAAUAAAUGAUGAUUACUGCUGGAUUUCAAGGGCCUAAUGUAGAUCAAGCGAAAAAAAAUGAAUAUUAUAUAGAUUCAGACAUAUUUUUGAGUUAGAUAGAAUUCGGAUGAGUUCACGAAAUAACUCAAAUGUUUAUUAAUUUAUGUAUCAAGAAAAAGUCCAUAAUAUCAAGAAUUAUAUUCAAAUGGUGUAAAAAUGAAUUAAAUAAUCGUCUGAUAAAUGUGUGAAUAUGACAGAGAGGUAGGAGUGUAGGACAAUAAUUAUAUAUACGAAAAAAGAUAAGAAAGAAUAAAAAUGAAAAAAAGGAAAAAAAAAAUAAAAACUAAACGUAAUAAAAUUAACUCAAGUCUAAAUCUAUUUUCGAAUCUCAAAUAUAAAAUAUUUAGGUAUAAUAUAUUUAAAAUUUUUAAUAAUAUAUAAGCAUGCUGAUAAAAAAUACCAUAAACCACUGCAACUAAGAAUAACAACAAUAAUCAUUAUAGAUGUAUUAUCUCAAAGGAAUCAUUUCUGAAUCACAGAUUAAUGAUCAAAAGGUUAGACUGUAAAUUGUGACCAUCCAAAAGAAACACAAAAUCACAAGAGGUUUUAGUCACAGUAACAUACUGCCUAUACUAAUUCCUCAUUCAUAUAGCAGACAGACACAAACAUAACUCCCAGUAGAAUUAGAUGAAUCAUAGUUAGCCAAGGAAACAAUGGGUCUUCCUAAUUCAUUCUAACUCUCAAUUAAUCCCAAAACAUAUUAUUCCAAAUGUCAUUCAUGGCAGAUUUACAACUAUUCCAAAGAAAAUAUUACCCACUUUUCAAAUUAAAAUAUUUCAUUUUAUAUAUAAAUAAAUAAAUCAUUGCAUAAUUAAUCAUAACCACCAAGAAGGUAGGGAAAAAUAGCUAAUUAAAUAGAGUAUUCCUUUGCAUUCCAUCACCUUAGAACAUCUAGCAAUUCUGUGAAAAUAAAAUUUCAACUCAUGUGUUACUAUUAAUUUCUUUUGAUUUUGAUGAGCUAAAAGAAAAAACAAAAAAAAAAAAAAGAAAAGAGAAAGGAUAUUGCAUUUGCACAUAUGGCCACUAAAGCAGUUCUUCAACAUUUUGAUGUUCUCUUGAAGCGUUGUGAUUCAAUCAUUUUCUUAAAAUGCUCACUCAAAUGGGACAAAAAAAAAACAUCUUCCAAGCUGCUGGAAGGAGUCCACUGCCAAUCCCACAUCGAGCAAAAUAAGAAUUUUCAACUUUUGUUAAAGUUUACGCAAUAGCUGCUGGAUCGCCGAGCCAAAUAACGUGGGCUUGUCACCCAAGUGGGGGCUAUGAAGUGGUGGGACAUUGACCAAACUCAGAUGGCUGGAUAUGGGAUGGCUAAUAUCUGGCACGCCCAUUCCAAGCCGGGAGUUGAAUCAAGAGGCUCGGGCUAAAGCUUGAGUUGCUUGGCUCCUACAGUUGAGGGUACCGCGUGAGGCUGGCUUCACAGAGCAGCGACUACUUCCCGCUUCCGGCAGUGGAAGGAUGACGAGUUGGUGUCACCCGGAUCCACAUAGCCAAAUGGGCUGUUCUAAUUGGACCACCACUUUUUUUUUUUUUUUU